AAACUUUCAACAAGGGAUCUCUUGGUUCCCGGAUCGCUGAAGAACGCAGCGAAGUGCGAUAAGUAAUGUGAAUUGCAGAAUUCAGUGAAUCAUCGAAUCUUUGAACGCACAUUGCGCCCUUUGGAAUUCCGAAGGGCAUGCCUGUUCGAGCGUCAUGAC
rnacentral:rRNA from 1 species